rnacentral:rRNA from 1 species
UGGGGAAUAUUGGACAAUGGGCGCAAGCCUGAUCCAGCCAUGCCGCGUGAGUGAUGAAGGUCUUAGGAUUGUAAAGCUCUUUCACCGAUGAAGAUAAUGACGGUAGUCGGAGAAGAAGCCCCGGCUAACUUCGUGCCAGCAGCCGCGGUAAUACGAAGGGGGCUAGCGUUGUUCGGAAUUACUGGGCGUAAAGCGCACGUAGGCGGAUAUUUAAGUCAGGGGUGAAAUCCCAGAGCUCAACUCUGGAACUGCCUUUGAUACUGGGUAUCUUGAGUAUGGAAGAGGUGAGUGGAAUUCCGAGUGUAGAGGUGAAAUUCGUAGAUAUUCGGAGGAACACCAGUGGCGAAGGCGGCUCACUGGUCCAUUACUGACGCUGAGGUGCGAAAGCGUGGGGAGCAAACA